rnacentral:lncRNA from 1 species
AAAACAUUGAGAUUUUAAAUCCUUUUUCUUUCUUUCUGCUACUUGAUGCUCUGCAUAUCCUGCCAUAUCAUCAUUUUUCAAACUACUUUGUUUCCUUUGCAAAUCUUUGCAAUUUUUUUUUUUACUUUUUUAUUAUUUAAACACAUGCAAUCAGACUUCAUGACUACUCUUACAGUGCCUUUUAAGCACUAGUCAGCCAUACUAUUCCUCUAAUGGAAUGUGUCGUGCUAAAUUCUGGCUGUUCUUAGAACAGAUAAUGUCAAGACUCUCCGAGGAAGAAGCAAAGGUCCUUUCUACUUUUCCAAGGUUUGUUGUACCAUUGCCUUUAGUCAUCUUUCCUAUUGUCAACUGGUACCCAAGUUAUUUCAUUUUGGUCUCUUUUUCUUCAUCAGAUGAUGGAUAGAUAAAGUUCAUCACUAGUUCUACCUUACUGUGCCUUAUAUACUGCAACAAACCUGAGGUAACAUUGUCCUUUAGCAUCCCAGCCUAUUGUGUUGAUGCUAUGAAGACCAAAACAAUUAUGAUGGGUCUAAGCCAGUUCCUCACAGAAAAAUUCUUCCUUGGUCAUUGCAGUUACUACCAGGCACAUAGCUGUUGCUCUGUUGCUCAUCCUCCUUUUUUAUUAUUUUUUUUAUUUCCUUUUUUUUUUUUUUUUUUUUUUCCCAGGGUGACUAUGCUUAAGGGAGGAGGAUGUGUCCAACUUUCACACAGGAAGCAGAUGUUUGGAUUCUGGGUGCUGCUUCAGUCCAUGUUCAUUUCUUAAACCACAGGAGAGUGUUCCAAAGGCUGAGUGAUAAGCUUGAAUGGAAUGGGAUCCUGCUCCCCUGCUUUCAAAGCAGGACCUUUCAGGAAGAUCCCUGUGACCAGCCGACUGAAGAACUUUCUGGUUGGCAGCAAACUAUGCACAGUGACAUCUGGAUUCUGACACUUCUGAGGGACCAUCUAUCUGCGCCCAAUUCCCAAGUCUUUGCUGUGACUCUUUUGCCCAGCCUAACUUGCAGCCUAUAUUGCCUUGAGCAGACCAGCCCCUUUCCAGAGCACUCCACCUAACCCAGUCACUCCUCUGGGGAAAAAAGACAUAAUUAGGAAACAAAAUGUAGCGCAAACAAACAAAAAUGUAAAGACAAGCUCAUCAAAGGUAGGAUUCAUGGCUCACAAAACAAAUGAAAAGAGAAGUUGAGUUGUGAUGUCUUUCACUUGUAAUACCCAACAGUUGUGGUUCAUCAUUUACCUCAAAUAUGGGAGAUCUAUAUACUUGCUCUUCCACCGAACUAUGAAAAAAAAAUGGUUUCUUAUCUUUCAGGUAAAUCUAUUUUCCAUUUAUUUUAUUGUAUCCCACAAUCCUUAGGAUUUUGUUACCUCAAAGUUUCUGGAUUUAUCAUUUAUGUCAAAACUGUUCCAAAGAUUCAUGUUCAGUGAUGGAUUGAAGUGUUCACGGAUCAGGUCAUAACUAUUUUUUCUCUUUUACUCUCUCUGUUCUAAGGUGAAAAUGGGAAAAUUUACUGUGAUAAUCUCUGUUUUGUGGCUGAUGGUAAAAAAUGCUGGAAAUCAGACACUGAGGGUGAAGAAAUCCAGUUCUGGGUGCCAGCAUGCCUCAGCUGAAAAGCUUCCUUCCAGAUGUUGGGUGAUUCAUCAAAGAUCAAAGAGCAGAAAUUAAAUUAUUA